rnacentral:rRNA from 1 species
UACGGAGGGUGCGAGCGUUGUCCGGAUUUAUUGGGUUUUAAAGGGUGCGUAGGCGGCUCGAUAAGUCUGGGGUGAAAGCCCGUUUGCUCAACAACGGAACUGCCCUGGAAACUGCCGAGCUUGAGUACAGACGAGGGUGGCGGAAUGGAUACUGUAGCGGUGAAAUGCAUAGAUAGUAUCCAGAACCCCCGAUUGCGAAGCAGCUGCCUAGACUGUAACUGACGUGAGGCACGAAAAGCGUGGGGGAGCGAACAGG